rnacentral:tRNA from 1 species
AGGCAGCUAGUCUAUAAACAAGACCUUUGAUUUCGACUCAAACAAUCAUGACUAAACCCAUGGCCGCCUU